rnacentral:lncRNA from 1 species
AAAUUCUAACCUUGGUCAUUUCCAUGUUAUGAGGGGAUGAUGUGUCAGUCUGUAUACUUCCUUGUAAGACUUGAUCCUACAUGGUUAAUAGCUUCUCGUUGUCGAACGGUGGUGGAGCAAACGAAACGUGAUGGUCAUCACUGGUGAUAGGGUUGUGGUUCCGAGGGAGUGAGGCUUGCUCUGUGAUAUACUGAUGGAUAUUGACCAUGGUUUGAGACAUUGCUUGUAAAACCUGAGUUUGUGGUUCCAUAUACUCUAACAUCUUGCGUUCGAAUGAUGCGACUACAGGUGGAAUGUUAAGAUCUCCUUCAUUGGCUCUAUCUUCAUGAUUUUCAUUGGGACUCGCCAUUCGGUUGGGUGAUAAAGAUAGGAUCAGAAGAAAAUAGGAAAUGGAUAAAAUUGUAGAACAAGGUAGAGCACUUCAUGAUAUCAUCGUCUUUUCAUGGGUCGUCAUCUGAGUAAUGGUAGAAGGAAGGAUGGAAAGCAACAAGGUGGCAAGAAAACUAGGCUAGGGCCUUCUUUUCUUCGGCUUGCUUCUAUUUCGACGGUGAUGGUGGCGAUAGCCUCCGCUUGUUGGCAUUGUUGUUGCCUUCACUUUCUUUCUUGAUGUCCAUCAGAAUUGGGAGAUAGAAUGAAAGAUAGCAAGGAUGUGGGAGGCACAAGCAGGUUCUAAGAGAGAAAAAAAAACAAAGAGGUGGGAGACAACAAGUUCCUUAUGGCAGAGUGGAUAGUCUUUCAUCUUUACUUGUCGCGAGUAGAAUCUCCCUGCUUUCUUCAUCUUCUUUGGUUCUUGUAAUCAUCAUUAGAGUAAGACGGAGAUCAGAGUAAAGCCUUCUAUUCUUCAAUUUGCUUCUAACGAGACAGUGGUGGUGAUGUUAACUUCUGCUUGUUGGUGUUGGUGUUGACUUUAAUUCCCUCUUUUCUGAUGUCCUUCAUUGGCUCGGGUAGAAGGGAAUGGAUGACAAGGAUAUGGGAGAUUCAAAAGAAGAACCCAGCUAGGCAACUGAUGUCAUUGUAGAUAGAAGACCCACAAUACACCAACAAUCAUUACAAAGAAACAAAUCGGACAAUUUCAUCAAAACAAGCAUCAUAAUGCAAGCACAAAAUUUCACCAGUCA